CCUACGGGUGGCAGCAGUGGGGAAUAUUGGGCAAUGGAGGAAACUCUGACCCAGCAACGCCGCGUGAAUGAUGAAGGUCUUCGGAUUGUAAAGUUCUUUUCUAAGGGAAGAAGAAAGUGACGGUACCUUAGGAAUAAGCCUCGGCUAACUACGUGCCAGCAGCCGCGGUAAUACGUAGGAGGCGAGCGUUAUCCGGAAUGACUGGGCGUAAAGGGUGCGUAGGUGGUUUGGCAAGUUAGUGGCGUAACUCCAAGGCUCAACCUCGCUCCGCCGUUGAAACUGGCGUUCUUGAGUGGGCGAGAAGUAUGCGGAAUGCGUGGUGUAGCGGUGAAAUGCAUAGAGAUCACGCAGAACUCCGAUUGCGAAGGCAGCAUACCGGCGCCCAACUGACGCUGAAGCACGAAAGCGUGGGUAUCGAACAGGAUUAGAUACCCCUGUAGUC
rnacentral:rRNA from 1 species